UACAGAGGUCUCAAGCGUUGUUCGGAUUCAUUGGGCGUAAAGGGUGCGUAGGCGGCGCGGUAAGUCGGGUGUGAAAUCUCGGAGCUUAACUCCGAAACUGCAUUCGAUACUGCCGUGCUUGAGGACUGGAGAGGAGACUGGAAUUUACGGUGUAGCGGUGAAAUGCAUAGGUAUCGUAAGGAAGACCAGUGGCGAAGGCGGGUCUCUGGACAGUUCCUGACGCUGAGGCACGAAGGUCAGGGGAGCAAACGGG
rnacentral:rRNA from 1 species